rnacentral:rRNA from 1 species
UUGCCUACGGGACGCAGCAGUGGGGAAUAUUGCACAAUGGGGGAAACCCUGAUGCAGCGACGCCGCGUGAGUGAAGAAGUAUCUCGGUACGUAAAGCUCUAUCAGCAGGGAAGAAAAUGACGGUACCUGACUAAGAAGCCCCGGCUAACUACGUGCCAGCAGCCGCGGUAAUACGUAGGGGGCAAGCGUUAUCCGGAUUUACUGGGUGUAAAGGGAGCGUAGACGGUAAUGCAAGUCUGGAGUGAAAGGCGGGGGCCCAACCCCCGGACUGCUCUGGAAACUGUGUAACUGGAGUGCAGGAGAGG